rnacentral:rRNA from 1 species
GGAUCCAGACUUUGAUCAUGGCUCAGGACGAACGCUGGCGGCGUGCUUAACACAUGCAAGUCGAACGAGAAGAGAUGAGAAGCUUGCUUCUUAUCGAUUCGAGUGGCAAACGGGUGAGUAACGCGUAAGCAACCUGCCCUCUAGAUGGGGACAACAGCUGGAAACGGCUGCUAAUACCGAAUACAUUCUUUCUGUCGCAUGGCAGAGGGAAGAAAGGGAGGCUCUUCGGAGCUUUCGCUGGAGGAGGGGCUUGCGUCUGAUUAGCUAGUUGGAGGGGUAACGGCCCACCAAGGCGACGAUCAGUAGCCGGUCUGAGAGGAUGAACGGCCACAUUGGGACUGAGACACGGCCCAGACUCCUACGGGAGGCAGCAGUGGGGAAUCUUCCGCAAUGGACGAAAGUCUGACGGAGCAACGCCGCGUGAACGAUGACGGCCUUCGGGUUGUAAAGUUCUGUUAUACGGGACGAAUGGUACGACGGCCAAUACCCGUCGUAAGUGACGGUACCGUAAGAGAAAGCCACGGCUAACUACGUGCCAGCAGCCGCGGUAAUACGUAGGUGGCAAGCGUUGUCCGGAAUUAUUGGGCGUAAAGGGCGCGCA